GGCCUUGAGCCGUGGCUUUCGGAGCUAACGCGUUAAGUAGACCGCCUGGGGAGUACGGUCGCAAGAUUAAAACUCAAAUGAAUUGACGGGGGCCCGCACAAGCGGUGGAGCAUGUGGUUUAAUUCGAUGCAACGCGAAGAACCUUACCUACUCUUGACAUCCAGAGAACUUUCCAGAGAUGGAUUGGUGCCUUCGGGAACUCUGAGACAGGUGCUGCAUGGCUGUCGUCAGCUCGUGUCGUGAGAU
rnacentral:rRNA from 2 species